rnacentral:rRNA from 1 species
UACGGAGGGGGCGAGCGUUGUCCGAAGUUACUGGGCGUAAAGCGCGCGUAGGCGGGUUGGCAAGUCCGCUGUGAAAGCCCGGUGCUUAACGCCGGAGGGUCGGUGGAUACUGCCAGUCUUGAAGGUGCUAGGGGAAGAUGGAAUUACCGGUGUAGCGGUGAAAUGCGUAGAUAUCAGGAAGAACACCCGUGGCGAAGGCGGCUCUCUGGGACGGUACUGACGCUGAGACGCGAAAGCGUGGGGAGCGAACAGG